GCCUGGCUGGCUCAGUCAGUGGAGCGUGCGACUCUUGAUCUCAGGGUGUGAGUUUGAGCCCCACAUUGGGCG
rnacentral:tRNA from 1 species